GGAGAGAUACUCAAGAGGCCGAAGAGGGUGGUUUGCUAAACCGCUAGGGGGAGAUACCUCCCCGCGAGGGUUCGAAUCCCUCUCUCUCCG
rnacentral:tRNA from 1 species